GGAGGAGUACCCAAGUGGUUCAAGGGGACGGUUUGCUAAACCGUUAGUGGGAGCAAUCCCAGCGAGAGUUCGAAUCUCUCCUCCUCCG
rfam:Candidate division WOR-1 bacterium RIFOXYC2_FTLL_46_14 rifoxyc2_full_scaffold_885, whole genome shotgun sequence.